rnacentral:rRNA from 1 species
UACGUAGGGGGCUAGCGUUGUCCGGAAUCAUUGGGCGUAAAGCGCGCGUAGGCGGCCUCGUAAGUCUGCUGUGAAAGUCAAGGGCUCAACCCUUGGAUGCCGGUGGAUACUGCGAGGCUAGAGUCCGGAAGAGGCGAGUGGAACUCCUGGUGUAGCGGUGGAAUGCGCAGAUAUCGUAAGGAAGACCAGUGGCGAAGGCGAGUCUCUGGACAGCAACUGACGCUGAGGCACGAAGGCCAGGGGGAGCAAACGGGG